GCAGCCAGUAUGGUGGCCAUGACUCUCGGCUUGUAACCGAGUGGGUUUGGGUUCGAAUCCCGAGUAAUACAUGGUUGUA